GAAGGUGUGCUGUGAGGCAUGCUGGAGGUAUCAGAAGUGCGAAUGCUGACAUAAGUAACGAUAAAGCGGGUGAAAAGCCCGCUCGCCGGAAGACCAAGGGUUCCUGUCCAACGUUAAUCGGGGCAGGGUGAGUCGACCCCUAAGGCGAGGCCGAAAGGCGUAGUCGAUGGGAAACAGGUUAAUAUUCCUGUACCAGGUGUUACUGCGAAGGGGGGACGGAGAAGGCUAUGUUGGCCGGGCGACGGUUGUCCCGGUUUAAGCGUGUAGGUGUGUGUUCCAGGUAAAUCCGGUUCACUUUAACACUGAGGCGUGAUGACGAGGCACUACGGUGCUGAAG
rnacentral:rRNA from 1 species